rnacentral:rRNA from 1 species
GACGAACGCUGGCGGCGUGCCUAAUACAUGCAAGUUGAGCGAUGAAGAUUGGUGCUUGCACCAAUUUGAAGAGCAGCGAACGGGUGAGUAACGCGUGGGGAAUCUGCCUUUGAGCGGGGGACAACAUUUGGAAACGAAUGCUAAUACCGCAUAACAACUUUAAACAUAAGUUUUAAGUUUGAAAGAUGCAAUUGCAUCACUCAAAGAUGAUCCCGCGUUGUAUUAGCUAGUUGGUGAGGUAAAGGCUCACCAAGGCGAUGAUACAUAGCCGACCUGAGAGGGUGAUCGGCCACAUUGGGACUGAGACACGGCCCAAACUCCUACGGGAGGCAGCAGUAGGGAAUCUUCGGCAAUGGACGAAAGUCUGACCGAGCAACGCCGCGUGAGUGAAGAAGGUUUUCGGAUCGUAAAACUCUAUUGGUAGAGAAGAACGUUGGUGAGAGUGGAAAGCUCAUCAAGUGACGGUAACUACCCAGAAAGGGACGGCUAACUACGUG